AAGAACCUUACCUGGUCUUGACAUCCACGGAAGUUUUCAGAGAUGAGAAUGUGCCUUCGGGAACCGUGAGACAGGUGCUGCAUGGCUGUCGUCAGCUCGUGUUGUGAAAUGUUGGGUUAAGUCCCGCAACGAGCGCAACCCUUAUCCUUUGUUGCCAGCGGUCCGGCCGGGAACUCAAAGGAGACUGCCAGUGAUAAACUGGAGGAAGGUGGGGAUGACGUCAAGUCAUCAUGGCCCUUACGACCAGGGCUACACACGUGCUACAAUGGCGCAUACAAAGAGAAGCGACCUCGCGAGAGCAAGCGGACCUCAUAAAGUGCGUCGUAGUCCGGAUUGGAGUCUGCAACUCGACUCCAUGAAGUCGGAAUCGCUAGUAAUCGUGGAUCAGAAUGCCACGGUGAAUACGUUCCC
rnacentral:rRNA from 1 species